ACAACUUUCAGCAACGGAUCUCUUGGCUCUGGCAUCGAUGAAGAACGCAGCGAAAUGCGAUAAGUAAUGUGAAUUGCAGAAUUCAGUGAAUCAUCGAAUCUUUGAACGCACAUUGCGCCCGCCAGUAUUCUGGCGGGCAUGCCUGUUCGAGCGUCAUUACAACCCUCAGGCCCCCGGGCCUGGCGUUGGGGAUCGGCGGAAGCCCCCUGCGGGCACAACGCCGUCCCCCAAAUACAGUGGCGGUCCCGCCGCAGCUUCCAUUGCGUAGUAGCUAACACCUCGCAACUGGAGAGCGGCGCGGCCACGCCGUAAAACACCCAACUUCUGAAUGUUGACCUCGAAUCAGGUAGGAAUACCCGCUGAACUUAAGCAUAUCAAUAAGCGGGGGAAAAGAAACCAACAGGGAUUGCCCCAGUAACGGCGAGUGAAGCGGCAACAGCUCAAAUUUGAAAUCUGGCUCUCGGGCCCGAGUUGUAAUUUGUAGAGGAUGCUUUUGGUGAGGUGCCUUCCGAGUUCCCUGGAACGGGACGCCAUAGAGGGUGAGAGCCCCGUCUGGUUGGACACCGAUCCUCUGUAAAGCUCCUUCGACGAGUCGAGUAGUUUGGGAAUGCUGCUCUAAAUGGGAGGUAUAUGUCUUCUAAAGCUAAAUACCGGCCAGAGACCGAUAGCGCACAAGUAGAGUGAUCGAAAGAUGAAAAGAACUUUGAAAAGAGAGUUAAAAAGUACGUGAAAUUGUUGAAAGGGAAGCGCUUGUGACCAGACUUGGGCUUGGUUGAUCAUCCGGGGUUCUCCCCGGUGCACUCUUCCGGCUCAGGCCAGCAUCAGUUCGCCCUGGGGGAUAAAGGCUUCGGGAAUGUGGCUCUCUCCGGGGAGUGUUAUAGCCCGCUGCGUAAUACCCUGUGACGGACUGAGGUUCGCGCAUUCGCAAGGAUGCUGGCGUAAUGGUCAUCAGUGACCCGUCUUGAAACACGGACC
rnacentral:rRNA from 1 species